GAUGAACGCUGGCGGCGUGCCUAAUACAUGCAAGUCGAGCGAACAGACGAGGAGCUUGCUCCUCUGACGUUAGCGGCGGACGGGUUAGUAACACGUGGAUAACCUACCUAUAAGACUGGGAUAACUUCGGGAAACCGGAGCUAAUACCGGAUAAUAUAUUUAACCGCAUGGUUCAAUAGUGAAAGACGGUUUUGCUUUCACUUAUAGAUUGAUCCGCGCCGCAUUAGCUAGUUGUUAAGGUAACGGCUUACCAAGGCAACGAUGCGUAGCCGACCUGAGAGGGGGAUCGGACACACGGGAACUGAGAAACGGUCGAGACUCCUACGGGAGGCAGCAGUAGGGAAUCUUCCGCGAUGGGCGAAAGCCUGACGGAGCAAAGCCGCGUGAGUGAUGAAGGUCUUAGGAUCGUAAAACUCUGUUAUUAGGGAAGAACAAAUGUGUAAGUAACUAUGCACGUCUUGACGGUACCUAAUCAGAAAGCCACGGCUAACUACGUG
rnacentral:rRNA from 1 species